GACGAACGCUGGCGGCGUGCUUAACACAUGCAAGUCGAACGGAAAGGCCCUGCUUGCAGGGUACUCGAGUGGCGAACGGGUGAGUAACACGUGGGUGAUCUGCCCUGCACUUCGGGAUAAGCCUGGGAAACUGGGUCUAAUACCGGAUAGGAGCCAUUUUUAGUGUGAUGGUUGGAAAGUUUUUUCGGUGUAGGAUGAGCUCGCGGCCUAUCAGCUUGUUGGUGGGGUAAUGGCCUACCAAGGCGGCGACGGGUAGCCGGCCUGAGAGGGUGGACGGCCACAUUGGGACUGAGAGACGGCCCAGACUCCGACGGGAGGCAGCAGUGGGGAAUAUUGCACAAUGGGGGCGAGCCUGAUGCAGCGACGCCGCGUGGGGGAUGACGGCCUUCGGGUUGUAAACGCCGUUCGCUAGGGACGAAGCUUUUUGUGACGGUACCUAGAUAAGAAGCACCGGCUAACUACGUG
rnacentral:rRNA from 1 species